GUUUACUGUUUUGUAUAGUAGAGGUAGUAGCGUGAUCACGUAAGCUAGACGACAUCCAGGUGCCCCGUCGGGGUGAGAGGGAAUAGAAGAGAACGAGACGGAAUAGAAGAGGGUGCUACUUAAAGAGGGUUUAGGAAAGAGAGUAGGUGGAGCAGUGGUGGAGUUUUAGGUAGAGAGAGAACGAGGGAGUGUUUUAGGCUGCUCGAGGUCGGCCGGCAAGAGGAGAAAGGAGAACCUAGGGGUAGGGGGAGGCCGCUGCUCGAGGUGUGUGCGGCGUCGGCGACGUAGGGGUAGCCGAAAGAGGGGCCGUCAUGUAUGCCGACGUCGAGCGUGACGACGUUCCCCCGCCCCGGCUCUUCCUCGCCUCAGCGACAACACUCCAACGACGACGAUCGGUACUUGCGGUACCGGCGGCGGAGGGGGAGUAGACCAGCACCGCGACCUCGUCCGCCACCUUUGCUACCGGAGGCCACGAUGUUGGCCACUCAGAAAAACGACCUUGGCCGGCCGUUUUUUCGAAGUUGGUGUGACUGGUCACGACCUUGGUCCGUUAGCAGCUCAUCAAAAACGACGGUGGAGGAAAGAAACGAUGUUGACCGUCCUAAAAAACGACCUAGGCAGCUCUUUAAAACAACGCUGGUAGCCGCCGCUACGUACAAAACGAUGUUGCUCGUGCUGCUACACGAUGGUAGCCGUGACCACAAAAAACGAAGCUCUAACAAAACGACCUUGGUCACAAAAGAAAACGACCUUGACCGAUUACACAAACUAUGUUAGCUAGUAGCCUCAAAAAACGACGACCCUAAAAACGACCUUGGUGAUAAUUCAAAACGACCUUCACCGUUUAUAAAAACAAAGUUGCCUCAUGGCUUCAAAAAACAAUGAAAUCUAAAAAAAAACGACCUCUACUGCCACGUUCAGCUGCUGCCGCCACUCGGCCUCUGCUCCUGCAGCCCUACGACGUUGGUACCACUACCGCGAGACCUGGGAAGAACACAAGCUCGACGUUGGUACCACUCACCUCCGUCGGUUCCGCUCGUGUCACCGUGCCCAGCGGCCGCUCGCGCCUACCGGCCGCACCACCGUGCUCAGCGGCCGUUCGAGCCCAUCGGCUCCUGUUCGCUCCGCCGGCCGCUCGAACGUGCCUCACCCCGUACGCGCGUGCGAGUGAAAAAGGACUAGACGAAAAAAGACGCACACAAAUGAAAUACCCCUGCUUCAAUUAAAAUUAGACUGCCAACUUUUUCUGAGAUAGCCCGCAUGUGCGUCGCUGGCCGGGUUUUCAACCCGGCCAGGCGGCCGCGGAUACUCGCGGGUUUUCUAUAACGGUGAAUUGUAAUUUUAUAUACAACGCAACAUAAUUGUUCAAAUUACUUUCUCCGAUCACGGAGCGAUAUUUUGUUUAGUGGCGUAUGUUCGUUCAGGUUAACUACUGCUUUCUCGUUUUCUUUUACAUCUUCAAGUUUCUCCUUAUCUUUAUCUGAUGUACGACUUCGCAGUCGAAUUAUGUUCGGGUUUUGUGUCUUGGCUGCCUUUAGAUCCAGGAACACCAAGGAUCAGUUCCCUAGCUACCGAUCCCGGCCGGGACUCCCCUCCGUCCCCCCUGCCAGCGGGGCCCGGGGGUUUUAUAACCCCGGGGGAGGUUCCAUACGUGCGUCCCCGCAUCGUUGCGUGCAUUGUCUAUCGUCGGGUACUGGUGCUCAGAAGAAACAAAAACGUAAAAGGAAACGCUAACUAGUAUCCGGGUGUAGUGGGGGCGUCUCUAGAUGAGGGAGGUAAGCCACUUCUAACAUGUAGAUCUUUAAAAUUCUAUUUAAUAUCUCAACUCAUUUUUUACGUAACCUUUCCACGUUCGGUGGCAGAGAGAGGAGAAAUUAAUGGGUUGGGUAUUACUCGAUUCAGAUACAUCUUUAUUUCUUCUGGUCUACAUCUAACGAUAACCAGAAUUAAUGGCACACUACUCUUUCUUUAUAAAAAGAGGUAAAAUUUCACGUAACCUUUCUAUCUUCAUGUGAAAAAAUACCUGUUUAAAAUUUCAAUCUACAUGUGAGAAGUGGCCUGCCCCUCUCUCAUAUGAAUCGGACCUACUCGCGUGUCCCCCGUAUUGGUAGCGGUGGCUUCGGAACAAAGAAGCCGUCAGGUGCGGAUUAAGGGCAGGGUUAGCCGUUGGCGCAGUUCCACUGUCAACGGCUACAGCGCCGCUGCCUCCUCCUCGUACGUUUAUCCGAGCAGUCCGCCAUUCCUACCUUAACUAAGACCAUCCCCAACAUAUACCUAAGGCAUCAGGUGCGGUUUGAGGUCAAAGUAAGCGAGGAAAGAUUGACUACUUAGACCAUGCCAACAAACCUAGAACUCUAUGAUAGAAAAAAAAAACUCCUAGAACUCUAUGAUAGAAUUGAACGAAUGAGGGCCGUCUUUCUUAACGUCAACCGUGCUCGUCCUAAAAGCGAACCGUAAGUUUUUAACCCUCGGUAAUACAGUAACAAACUAAUGUUUUUAACCUUAUACCCUCCUACAUAUACAGAGGAUUUAGUUCUAAUUAGUUAAUCUAGAGGCCCUAUUUUCACCUAUCUUUUUCUACGAAAACCAGGACGUCCAGAAUGUUCUAUAAAGAUUACGAAGUCUUUUUUUGUAAAAUAGUUCUUACUGUACAUAUUCCUUCGGGAGGCACACGACUACUACGAGCUCCAUACGACGGAAACAGGAUGAUAUUCUUCUAUACGUAUAACUGGUUCUUGUUAAACUCUCGAAAUUUACAAGGAUGUCUCCAAUUUAUCAAUCGUUGAAUUAUGUCAUUCUUAGUAGGUGUUGAAACGUAGAUACUCACAAUUUGUCUUUGAACCUCCAUGUACAUAUAUCUAAUACACUCAAACUACAUGAAAUAUAAAGUGUAUAUGUGUAUACCUAGUGAUAGAAAAUACAAAUAUCAUUUCCGGGGUACAAGAUCAAAGCGGGGCCCGGGGAUUUUACAGUCCUGGCGGGGACAGCUACCGAUCAGUUAGUGUGGCGAACGAGUCCCCGUAGGUAACGACGUCCUUUGGUAUCUAAAACUUCUAUCGUGAUCACCGUACGCACCCUUUUCUCACAAGUGAUGCAACAAAGGUCAUGUGGUGUUGCAGGAACGGUUCCGGGGCUUCAAGUGGGUGUAGUUGAAAACCCGGACCAUUAACGUGCUUCGACCGGGGACCAUCUGUAAUCCCUUCAACCUUCCCGUGGUGGGUAAGGGGGUUUGAAGGGAUUGUGUUGCGGUUUCUUUUACUCAACUCCGUGUACUUUUUUGUUCUCUAUGAUAAGUACAGGAGUAGCAACGUUUAUACAGAAUCUCCGUUAUUAUUUCAACAAUAAUAGUAUAAAGAACAAGAACUAUUUACAAAUAAGAGUUACAAUAUUAAACAGCCGCAAGGCCCUAGCCCCAGGGGUCUGAACGGACGGACGCCGGGUGCCGCACCGAGGUGAGUGCUCCCCGGUUCGGAGCGCUCCGCCUGCUGUGUUCUGGAGGAGCCCCCGUCGGAGUGGUUCGACCGAGCGCUCCCCGCCUCUCUAGUUCCGUUCCGCUUGGAGCGCUCCAAGGUUACUGCAUUCGGUACUGCUGGUUCUGGUCCGCCCGCGGUCGCGCGCAUCACAGGAGCAAAGGAGAAACCACGAUUCCUCCGUUCGCGUCCGCCCUUCAUGGCUCCGUAGUCCGUUUAUAAAGGUAUAUCCACGUUGCUCUGGUUCUGGUCGUCCUGCCGUCCUGCCUCCAGUGGCACCUCGGGUUCUGCCGCAGUGGUAGUCUCGGAAACCGUCCGCUUCUGGUGGAAAUCAGUCCUAUCUAACAUGAUCGACGGGGGAAUUUUAACCGGCAACAACCGAGGGAAGGGCGAGUUAUAAACCCUUCUCCUGGUCCCGUAGAUAUUUAUCCUGAUGGGUGGUGUCAUCCUCCGUUGAGUAGACUUGCCUAGUGUUGUCUCGGAGUCCUCUAAGUCUAGUAGGAGUGUGGGUGGUUCGUGUUCUUGUGGAACGGAGUCCUCCGACAAGAAGGGGAACAUAACAAGUAGGAGUCGGGUUCUCCGUUAGGUGCUGUGGUGUGACCUCAUCCCAUAAUGUGGUGUUGCUACCAGGCUUG
rnacentral:rRNA from 1 species